rnacentral:rRNA from 1 species
ACGAAGGGGGCUAGCGUUGUUCGGAAUUACUGGGCGUAAAGCGCGCGCAGGCGGUCCUUCAAGUCAGAGGUGAAAGCCCAGAGCUCAACUCUGGAACGGCCUUUGAAACUAGAGGACUAGGGUACGGGAGAGGUGAGUGGAAUUCCGAGUGUAGAGGUGAAAUUCGUAGAUAUUCGGAAGAACACCAGUGGCGAAGGCGGCUCACUGGCCCGUUACCGACGCUCAGGCGCGACAGCGUGGGGAGCAAACAGGAUUAGAUACCCUGGUAGUCCACGCCGUAAACGAUGGAUGCUAGCCGUUGGUAAGCAUGCUUAUCAGUGGCGCAGCUAACGCAUUAAGCGUCCCGCCUGGGGAGUACGGCCGCAAGGUUG